rnacentral:misc_RNA from 1 species
AACACCUCAACUCCCCUUUCUUUUUUGAAAUGGGAGCUGGACUUGAGUGAUCCCAACGCUUUUCUCACCGAAAAGCGGCGGGUUACUUGAAAUGCAGGUGCAGCUGGACUUUUCUCUGAGCUAUAAGCAUAUCUAUUUAGUCUGCCUAAAAAACAGAUUAUUACCUUUGCUGCAGCUAACAUAAAGGAGAUUAGUUCUUGUGCUGACUGAUGCAGGAUUCACAGAGACAGCUUCGGCUGGCCUUUGUAA